rnacentral:lncRNA from 1 species
UUAUGUUUAUUUUAUUUUAAUUUAAUUUAAUUUUCACAUAUUAAAAAAGUAAUACUUCUCACUCACACCAAUUAGAAGUAUUUGGAACUUCCUCCCAUCGCUCUCUCACCCCCAAUUUCUCAAACCCUAUUUUAUGCAAUCUCCCUCUUUCCCGCUCACCAACCUAGACCAAAUCAUUGGCAUGUAUCGCCGGAUCAUCGUCGACUCCUUCUUAUCUCAUCUGAUGUUUUCCUUCCUUCCCCUCUUCUCGCCAUCGAGACUGUAGCGUCAAUAGGGAAGAAAUUACAAAGCUUCUGGUCUCCGGAUGCUUGCAAUGCGUUCUUUUGCCCUGUUGCGCCUUUGAUGAUGUCAAUUCCCAUCUCCAAACAAGGUUCAGCUAGGUCCUCUCUACUUCUCUAUGUUUUGAUUACUUAAUGUGGAUCUAGGGUUAUAUUGCGGGUUCACUUUUGCGCUAUCAAUAGUUGGUGGAUCUGUGCUUAGAUUGCUUUUUUAUUUAACAUUGUAUAUAUUUGUUGCUCUAAGGAAUGGUUUCAUUUGUGGUGGAAAUUUGGCUGACAAGCAAGAGUGUGUAUGCAAUUGAGGUUUUUUUGGUCUUUUAUUGUUAUAUCCUCUGAUAGAGCUAUGAAAUUGUAUUGGUCGAAGGAUUGGAUUCUUCUUUUGGAAUUGACUGUAGUAUCAUUUGGAGAAUCAUAGAAGGAAACUGGAUGAGAUUAGUAUGGUUGUGUACUCCUUUUUCAGUCUCUCUAUUUGUUUAAAAAACUUAGCGAAGGUAAAAGAGGCUAUCUGUUCAGCUAGUUUUCUAGAUAUUUUUUUGCUUGAGUAAAAUCGGUGUGUUUUUGGAGGUAAUGAGAUGAGCUGUAUGUAUGCUCGUUUUUAGGAAAAAAUUUCUUUUUAUCUUAAAGAAGAAAGACCUGCAAAAAUAAAAGAGGGUAAAGGAGCAAGGUGUGCUCUUACAUUUAGAUUAUAAUUUUAUUCUUAAAGGAGAUUGUAUAAAUAAUUGGUCUCUUUUAAGACAUUUGAGUAUCAAUCAUUUGAUAAAAAUUUGAUUUUAUUCCUUGGUUGAACAGAAUUUAUUAUUGAGAAACGGCGACAUGUGUUUUGCUACUUUCUUUUUUAAAGAUUCUGAGUUUAACUUGUUGAUCCUUCCUGAAUUGUUUGUGUAUUCAAAGAUAUAUUAGCAGGGAUAGAGGAGCAUAUGAACAGAGGAUUGUAUAGUGUCCUUACCUAAUUUGAAAUUGAGGCUUGGUUGAUAGAAUCAAGAGUUGUAUGUGUGUGGAGUGGUGUUUGGUUGUCAUUUACUCAUAUUGUAUAUUCUUGUGCAAGCUAUUGAAUUUUGUAGGUUGAAUAAUUGAGUUGUUCUACUUGAAUUAAUUUUAUUACCAUUUGCAAUGCUGUUGUAGUCUUUCUUUGCUUCAAACUAGGUAUUGCAAACUUGGCUGCAUGAAUUGUGUUUGGUGUUUGUGAGAAUUUUUUGCAUAGGCUAAGUUUGCUUGCCCAUAUUUCAAUAGGCUUUUAGGUAAAGACUUCUGUAUUGAUAAUAUCUCAUUACUAAUUCAGUCAUUUUUUUACCGUAAAAGAGAAAAAACUCAGUGAAUUUUUCUCUUUUUCAUUCUGCAUAUAUGGGAAUGCAAAUGAAAUAUUUUAUGAGCUUUUUUAUGAAGUUUUUGUAGCAUAUUUAAUUUGACUAGUAGUAGUUCUCCUGAGAUUUAACUACUAGAGUUAUUCGUAAUCAAGGUAGUACAUGGAGUAGUCUAGUUUUACUUUUUAAUUUUAUUAAACUUUUGAGUAAGCAAUCUUUUUUAAUAUAUGUUUAAUCUAAUGGGAUUGGACAAAUUUAGAGGUUCUAACUCAGAAAGGAUCUUCGUUUCUUGAUCAUGCAGGAGCCUGAGCCCAUGAGCUGGGAUAUUACACGAAAGGACUUGGUUCUUGCUUGCUAGACAUGUACAAAGAGGCCUAUGAAAAGUAUGUGGAACAUCAUAUUUCUUGUGCUUUACCUUCUUUUCUUAACUUUGUCGGCUGGGUCUUUGCAUAGUCAGUUUGAUUAUAAUUUACAACAUUUAUGAGAGUAUGACUUAGAUUGUUGGCUAUAAAAGCUCUUAUUAGUACAACCUUCUGAAGACAAGCACAAUAUUUCUUUUCUUGUUUCUACAUAUUAAUCUUUGUUUAGAUCAGUCAUACAAAUCUAAUUGAAGUUUGUCGACUUUCUAUAAUGAUUGUUACUGUCUAUAAUAAUGUGUUUCAAAUGCUUGGUAUAACUUUAAUGUUGAUGAAUCUACUACAAUGUGCACGUUAGAGAUGUAACAUGUAAAAUAAUCAGAUUACUGCUACAUUAACUGCCCUUAUGUCCUUGAUCUCUUUAUAGACAUGAAACUUGAGGAUAUAUUUGAUACUUAGUUGAGGUUCAAUAGUUUUCUUGAGGUGUGUGGAGAGAAAAUACUAUGACAUAAUCUCUAAUGUGAAUGUUACGUGUCCUACGGAAGGUAAAAGCAAUCUUUUCCUAUUCAAGGUGUUCACGCAUGAUUGAUGAUGAUGAACAUAUAUUGUAGAAGGCCAUAUGGUAAGUUUUAAUUUCUUAGUAUUUUGGUUUUAACAUUAUAGUAAUUGAACAGUUUGUCUUCUAUAUUUACUCUCUUGUAAAUGUAGUUUCAGUACAAAGGUUGUACUGUUUUUAACUUAUCAAGACUAUGAAUACAAAAGCAUGACGAAAUCUGAGCUGUGAACUAAAAUAAUAUAUGAACUACAUAUUAACUACAUCCAUGAGAUUUGUAAACUUGCUCUUCUUUGACUUUUGGACAGAAUAUCAUUGUUUGAACAAUUAAUACUUAUUUAUUGUCUCGUCUUUUUGCAGGCACCAGAUUUGUGGAUCUCCAUCGAUCGAGUCAGAAAGAUCAUUGUACAUGUGCCAAUUAGUAACCAGUGUUUAGAUCAACUAUGGUGUUAUUUUUGGGUCUUAUGUUGAAUAAUUAUUUGAAGCUUUAGUACAUUUGAUGUUGUAAUUGUGGAGUACUUGUAUUUUUUAUACAAUAUCUUUUAUGUUUAAUUUUUUAUAUUUCUAUCAAAUUUAUUACUCCGUACAACAUCAUA